GCCGGCACGGCGCAGAGGCGAGGCGCGGCGGACUGUAAAUCCGUUCUUUCGGGUGAGUGGGUUCAAUUCCUUCUGUCGGCACCA
rnacentral:tRNA from 4 species